UGCACUUCUCUUAACCUCUUAACCUCAGACACUUCAACAUCAGACAUCAGAACUGCACUGGAGAUUCACUAGACUGGAUUCAUCACAAGAGAUGAUGAAAAAUAGUUUAACAGAAAUUAAUUCAUGGGAGAAGAUCUGUGCAGCAUCACAAACUGAAGGAGAAUUAAACAGAGAGGAAAAGAAAAAUGUCAAACAAAGAGGACGAGGUAAAAUGUACUGAACCAGAAGAGAAAAACCUCUUGAGACGAGUCAGACGGAACAGUAUUAAUAGUGGAAGACCAAACUUUUCUGAUGUUGCAGACAGGUUUAUUCAGAGUGGCUCUCAGAUGAGACAGGAGCAGCUUCUUUCGUCUGACCAGCUGAAUAUUCUUUAUAUUCAGUCUCUAACAAAACACUGCUUUAUUUUAGAUCGUUUGUUCUAUUUUUGUGUUACUAUCUUUUCAAAGUAUUAUAGACUAUAUAAUAAGCCAAUAUCAACU